UGGGGAAUAUUGGACAAUGGGCGAAAGCCUGAUCCAGCCAUGCCGCGUGUGUGAAGAAGGUCUUCGGAUUGUAAAGCACUUUAAGUGGGGAGGAAGGGCAGUAAGCGAAUACCUUGCUGUUUUGACGUUACCGACAGAAUAAGCACCGGCUAACUCUGUGCCAGCAGCCGCGGUAAUACAGAGGGUGCAAGCGUUAAUCGGAAUUACUGGGCGUAAAGCGCGCGUAGGUGGUUCGUUAAGUUGAAUGUGAAAGCCCCGGGCUCAACCUGGGAACUGCAUCCAAAACUGGCGAGCUAGAGUAGGGCAGAGGGUGGUGGAAUUUCCUGUGUAGCGGUGAAAUGCGUAGAUAUAGGAAGGAACACCAGUGACGAAGGCGACCACCUGGGCUCAUACUGACACUGAGGUGCGAAAGCGUGGGGAGCAAACAGG
rnacentral:rRNA from 1 species